rnacentral:siRNA from 1 species
UCUUGCUAUUUCCUCUUG